AUGAAACAGUGGCAUUGGAGAGCUGAUGAUACAGGAGGCCGCAUGGUGGCAUCAUGCUGUGAAGUUGUCAUUUUUAUCAUGUAUUUAAGUUUCAUGAAUGUGUCUCUUUUGUUAUGUGGGACUCUGGAACUUUAUUAUGUCUCAUGUGUGUGCGAUUUUGUGUCAUUUAUGACUGGUGAGCGAAGUCAGAGGAAUAAGAACUUUGUUAUGCUUGUUUUGUUGCAAUUUGUCAUUUGUGAUCUUGUGAUGAUCACUAAAGCGUCGUCAUGUUGCUGUCUUGACCUGACGUGCUGCUGUUUGGAGCUGAUGUGCGGCUGUUCCUAG
rnacentral:rRNA from 1 species